rnacentral:rRNA from 1 species
CGGUUGAUCCUGCCGGAGGCUACUACUAUUGGGAUUCGACUAAGCCAUGCGAGCCGAGAGGGUUCGGCCCUCGGCAGACGGCUCAGUAACACGUGGAUAAUCUGCCCUUAGGUGGAGGAUAAUCUCGGGAAACUGAGAAUAAUACUCCAUAAGUCUAAGAUGCUGGAAUGCACUUAGACUUAAAGCUCCGGCGCCUAAGGAUGAGUCUGCGGACUAUCAGGUUGUAGUCAGGGUAAUGACCUGACUAGCCUACGACGGAUACGGGUUGUGAGAGCAAUAACCCGGAGAUGAUAUCUGAGACACGAUAUCAGGCCCUACGGGGCGCAGCAGGCGCGAAAACUUCACAAUGCGCGAAAGCGCGAUGAGGGAAUCCCAAGUGCUUGCACGUAAGUGUAAGCUGUUUCUAUGUUUAAAAUGCAUAGAGAGUAAGGGCUGGGUAAGACGGGUGCCAGCCGCCGCGGUAAUACCUGCGGCUCAAGUGGUAGCCGCUAUUAUUGGGCCUAAAACGUUCGUAGCCUGUUUAAUAAAUGCCUGGGUAAAUCGUAUGGCUUAACCAUACGAAUUCCGGGUAGACUGUUAAACUUGAGACCGGGAGAAGCCGGAGGUACUCCUGGGGUAGAGGUGAAAUUCUGUAAUCCUAGGGGGACCACCUGUGGCGAAGGCGUCCGGCUAGAACGGGUCUGACGGUGAGGGACGAAGCCCUGGGGCGCAAACCGGAUUAGAUACCCGGGUAGUCCAGGGUGUAAACGCUGCUUGCUUGAUGUUAGUUGGGCUCCGAGCCCAAUUAGUGUCGGAGAGAAGUUGUUAAGCAAGCUGCCUGGGAAGUACGGUCGCAAGACUGAAACUUAAAGGAAUUGGCGGGGAAGCAC